rnacentral:tRNA from 1 species
AAGGAUUUAAGUUAAAUUUAAACUAAUAACCUUCAAAGUUGGAAAUAGAAUAUUCUAAGCCUUA